rnacentral:rRNA from 1 species
UACGUAUGGUGCGAACGUUGUUCGGAAUCACUGGGCAUAAAGAGCACGUAGGCGGUUAAGCAAGUCCAUUGUGAAAUCCCCCGGCCUAACCGGGGAACUGCAUUGGAUACUACUUGACUUGAGUGCAGGAGGGGAGAGUGGAAUUCCAGGUGUAGCGGUGAAAUGCGUAGAUAUCUGGAGGAAUACCGGUGGCGAAGGCGGCAUCCUGGACCGGCAUUGACGCUGAGGAGCGAAAGCUAGGGGAGCAAACGGG